GGGGACAACUUCAAUCUAAACCCUGAAAACCUUAAAACCAAGUGCCAGCUUAAUUAAACAGAGAGAUGUAGGAUUUUGCAAUACACAUUUAAUGUUCUGUGUGUAAUUGGAAGGCUUUCAGCUGGGUCAGGGGACAUGUAUAUACUGGGACUUCCUGGCAAGGUAAUACUGUAGUUUACUGUAGGUAAUAUUUGGUAAGAGAGUUGCCAAUGACAGAAUAGAAACAAGUAGACAAGAAUCACAUUUCAAGACCAAAAAUUGCAGUUCUUGCUAAACAUCUGAAAACACAUAUAUUCACAUUCAGUUUUUUUCCAGAGAUAGCAAGCAACUGAGUUUUCCAUGGACAUAGGCCAGAGGAUAUGACAAAACUUGAUCUCAUGCUGAGGAAAGGUUAUGUGAAGAAAAAAAAAAAAUAUUUUGCAUAUCGCUGCCAUCAGUUUUAUGACUAUUUAUGGCAGAAAUGUUUAUGUGCCAAUUGAGGAAUCUCUCUGUGGAUAAGGAAGGCAUCUAAAUCCUGGAACAGAAACAGUACCACGUGAGUUAUCUAGUCAAUCAGUCCUGAAUUACCAAAGAAAUAGUUGUGGUCUUUAGAGCUUGAGCAAUUACCAGGCUUAAAUACAAGCCUCUUACUGAAUAAUAGUUAUGACACAUUUGUGGAAUGUCAAAGUAUAUUCACAGAUCAUUCACUAGCUAAAAUUCAGUCAUUAUUUCAAAAAAAAAAAUAAUGGUGAAAUGCAUAUCAGGUACAUGAAAUUGGGUUCAUAUCAACUUGGAAAUUAAUUUGACUCAAAUAUUUUUUUUUCCUUCUGUUAGUAUUACCAGACAGCAGCCAAAGUUUGUCCUCAGAUCUCAGAUCUGCUGCUACCAUGGCUGUGACUUGACAAAAGAAACACCUGGUUGGUUUGGGCAUCUAACUGGUCCUGGACUCUUGGACAAGCUUACAGAGAAGUUUGUAAGAGACAUCCACAACACACAGUGAAAUUACAAAGAGAUGCACUUUUUACUUGU
rnacentral:lncRNA from 1 species